UACAUGUGGGGCAAGCGUUGUUCGGAAUUACUGGGCAUAAAGGGUGCGUAGGUGGCGCCGUAAGUCGGGUGUGAAAUUUCGGAGCUUAACUCCGAAACUGCAUUCGAUACUGCGGUGCUUGAGGACUGGAGAGGAGACUGGAAUUCAUGGUGUAGCAGUGAAAUGCGUAGAGAUCAUGAGGAAGACCAGUGGCGAAGGCGGGUCUCUGGACAGUUCCUGACACUGAGGCACGAAGGCCAGGGGAGCAAACGGG
rnacentral:rRNA from 1 species